AGAUGUUUAAAAAAAUAUAUAAAAUGUAGUGUACUGUACCGAUGUCUGAGUUUUUAUUUAUUUAAACAGUACAUACAACUAAUGUUGUUGGCUGUUCUUUGAAGGGUUGUUACCAUCCUUUUGUUUAUGUGGGAGGUUCUGCCCAGCUGGCACACUGGAGGAUGUGAUAUGCCCAGGGGGUACUCCUCACCAAGGGGAUUUGAACAGGGAGCUGCCCUAAUGGAAAUUACUGCCCUCUGGGUACUGCAUAUCCUUACACGUCCCAAUGCC
rnacentral:lncRNA from 1 species